rnacentral:tRNA from 1 species
GCUGUCGUACUCAAGUCUGGUUUAAGAGGCCGCUUUUCAGAAGCGGUAGGCGGAUAAUCUCCGUGCGUGGGUUCGUAUCCCGCCGGCAGCA